rnacentral:rRNA from 1 species
AGUGAACGCUGGCGGUAGGCCUAACACAUGCAAGUCGAACGGCAGCACAGUAAGAGCUUGCUCUUACGGGUGGCGAGUGGCGGACGGGUGAGGAAUACAUCGGAAUCUACUUUUUCGUGGGGGAUAACGUAGGGAAACUUACGCUAAUACCGCAUACGACCUACGGGUGAAAGCAGGGGAUCUUCGGACCUUGCGCGAUUGAAUGAGCCGAUGUCGGAGUAGCUAGUUGGCGGGGUAAAGGCCCACCAGGGCGACGAUCCGUAGCUGGUCUGAGAGGAUGAUCGGCCACACUGGAACUGAGACACGGUCAAGAGUCCUACGGGAGGCCGCAGUGGGGAAUAUUGGACAAUGGGCGCAAGCCUGAUCCAGCCAUACCGCGUGGGUGAAGAAGGCCUUCGGGUUGUAAAGCCGUUUUGUUGGGAAAGAAAAGCAGCAGGUUAAUACCCCGCUGUUCUGACGGUACCCAAAGAAUAAGCACCGGCUAACUUCGUG